GAUGAAGAACGCAGCGAACUGCGAUAAGUAAUGUGAAUUGCAGAAUUCAGUGAAUCAUCGAGUCUUUGAACGCACAUUGCGCCCCCUGGCAUUCCGGGGGGCAUGCCUGUCCGAGCGUCAUUGCUGCCCUUCAAGCCCGGCUUGUGUGUUGGGUCGUCGUCCCCCCCGGGGGACGGACCCGAAAGGCAGCGGCGGCACCGCGUCCGGUCCUCGAGCGUAUGGGGCUUUGUCACCCGCUCGAUUAGGGCCGGCCGGGCGCCAGCCGGCGUCUCCAACCUUCUAUUUUACCAGGUUGACCUCGGAUCAGGUAGGGAUACCCGCUGAACUUAAGCAUAUCAAUAAGCGGAGGA
rnacentral:misc_RNA from 1 species